ACCCGCGAGCCGCGCUUCAGCCGUCGUCUCCGCUGUCCCUGCCGCUGGAGGUCACGUAGGGGCGGCGGCAGGCGUCGGGAGGCUCGGUGAUGCCACAGCACUCCGGCCCGGUCCGCAAAACAGAGCACCCCAGGCGCGCCAGGGACUGGGCCUCGGGACGUGGUUGCCAAGCUGUGGGUCCUAGGUCCCGCGGGAUUUCCAUGUCAGCCUCUCAGUUUCAUUGACUGCGAACAGCACUGUUUAUGGGAGAAGCCAAAGACAACGUGGUGUUCUUUGUGUGUGCCUUACACACAGGUCUUCGGUAAACGUUUACUGAAUGAACACAUCCUGGGUUUCCAUGAGCUCCCACCUCUAGUAGCAGCAGAUGUUCCUAUGAGCUGUAAGCGUCUAGAUUUCCUCUUGUGUAUAAAGAUGCAAAGGCCUGAAGCAAUGUGUGUGUUAUAUAAUUGAAACAAAGAUGCAGAGGACAAUCUGGUCUUCAAAUGCUGCCAAUUUGACAACUGCGAUUUCAAAUGACCAAGCUCCAGCUCAAGAUGUUCAACCAUGGAAAGCAGGCGCUGUUCUUCACUGAUUCCACUAGAAACCAAUGGGGAAGAGAAAUGGGUAGAUGUUCCACAGAAGAAGUGACAGAAAGGGAGGAGAAAGAGUUGUCAUCUUUCUCAGUGCGGCAGGAAGAGGGAGGAAGAUAAAGGUCCCCAUUGGUCCAAAAGUGUCUCCUCUAAGUUGAAGAAAUAAAACUAAAUCAAAAGGAACACUACAAUGUCCAAAGAAGAUCAUGAAGGAGACUCUUUUCCAGUAGUGGGGAAGGAUUUUUUAAACAAAAGCAUAAACCUUGAGGCAAAACACUUGUCAAUCUGGUUACAUCAUUGUGAAAGCACACAUGGACAUUCUUCCAAGCCCAGAGAUGGAAUCAAGAUCUCAGUGAAGAGGUGGAAUUGAGCACAGGCAAUUGCUUCCUUUCUCACCUAAGGCCUCAUUGAGAUGAUCAGUGGAGAAGAACAAAAAAAGAAAGCAGGUGGGGAGUGGGAGGAGAGGCAUCGGAUGAGAAAUUUCAGAAAAUGGGGGAGGUGGAAAGCAGCAGGAGUGGGCGGAAACCAUUCCCAGAAUAGGCCUGUGGAGAGCUGAGGAAGGCAGGGGUUCAUCUUUCCUGUGGUCCUAGAGGCUCUGAGGCCUGCCUCGGGGUAGGGCUGGCACCAAGGGGAUUAACUGAAGCUCCAGGCUGGAACAACUGCUCCCUCCUACAGCCAGGCCACAGGGCAACUGGCAGCUGGCUUGGUUCCCUAGUUUAAAAAGUCAGAUAUCUCUUCUCCAAAGAAAUGCAGCAAACAGCUUGGGAGGGAUUUUAGAGUGGGUUUGAGCUUCCCGAGUAAUUCCUUCUUCAGUCUGGCAUCUGGUAAAUUUCUCCUAUGGCUCUUCUCUUUUCAUACCUCACAAAACAAAGCUGGACACCUGGUAAACCCCACCCUUGGACACAUCUCCCACCAACCUUUCUAUGUAGGAGAGAGACCCAUCAAGGAAAUUGAGUUACCUGGAAAGAUCAAAGGAUGAAAGUGCUAGCAAUUAGGCCAGGAAGAGAACACCUAGACUGCAAAAUAGAUUCUUCUGUCUGCAGUUACCAUUGUUGUCCGCCAACAAGGGGCUCUGUCUUGUUGCUUCAAAUUGCUUUCCAAGACAUCAAGAAAACUCUGAGCAGAUGCUAAGAGCAGAAGGAAGUCACAAUAAAGAGGCUCAAUCCCUGGAAUACAAGGCCAAGGACACACCUAGGUCAAAAGAGAAACUGAGGGAGUAAUUCCUAAGUGGAGACGACAGUCUCAUUUGUGAGAUACCAGUUGUCUACAGCACCCUGCCUAUGGUCUCUUAAAAUGUUUUAAAAAUAAGUCUGAAAUUUCCAAAGUCUGGAAAACAGAAAAAAGGAAGGCACAGCACCCUAAGUAACAUCCA